rnacentral:tRNA from 1 species
GGGGCUGUAGCUCAGUGGCAGAGCGCUUGCCUAGCAUGUAUGAGGCACUGGGUUUGACCCUCAGCACCA